GGAAGUGUCUUCUGUGAUUGUUCUCUGUGCAUUGAUCGAUAUAUAGAUGUCCUCAUCUGUUUAUCAGAUCUGCUCAGUGCCGACCCCUCCGUGUCACACACUCUUGUUUCCCAGUAAUUCUGUCUGGCAUUGCUUGGCAACAGGUUCUGAUUGGCUUUCCGCUGCCUUUGCUACCGACGCCGGGUCGACUAGCAAGUUGACGCACGGUCAUGCAUUUGCAAUCCACCACCCAAUCUCAGCCUCGCGAAUCUCGGUCUCCGUGAUUGAGAUACGUAUAGGUAACGGGUUGGGUGGGGGCGCUAAUGUUGAAGCCAACGACAGUUGCCCAAGUCAGCCAUUUUCAAAAUUUCUUGGUUAAGUAACUUUGUAGCUUAGCUUCGGAUUUUCGUAAUAAAUUUGCUGUUCAGAACACUUCCAUGUACGCGGCAUUGCCGAGCAAUUUGCCCAUUCUUUUG
rfam:Drosophila busckii chromosome 2L sequence.